rnacentral:lncRNA from 1 species
GUCUGUGAAAUAUUAGAGGAAUUGACUAUCUUAUUAUAACAUUAAGAACUGGUACUGAAUACUUGAAUGUGCUUGGUUUCCUCUUGCAUGACAGACGGCUUCCAUAAUGUGGCUCAGCCUCUCAUUCCAUCUGAGUCACAGGUGCGAUUAUCUAAGCACUCCUGAAGCUGCCCAUGGCCCCACACAACUCAUCAGAACUUCAGGUGGAAUAGCAGGGAGUAUAUACACCAUCUCAUCUGAACGAGUGAAAAACAGGCAAAAUCUAUGAAACAACACUCAAGGGAGAAGAAACAAAGAAGGUAAGCCCACAGUUGCACUGUUUACUGUCAGGCCACGAAGUAAGGAAAGGAAUCUUGGAGUCUCUAAGGGAAGGAUAAACCAAUUAAAAUAUUUUCUUUUAUAUAUAAACUCAAAUGCUUUUCUAAUUUGUCAUUUUCCAAAUAUUUCACUCUUAAUUUUUAUCAGACAUCCCCACCUUUCUUGGUUUAUUAUUAACAUUCAUUGAAUUAGGAAACCCAAGCUUUGCUACGAUCACUAGGAAUGUCUAAUAACUAACUAAAAUAUGAAACACUUAAAAACUAAGUUAAUGGAGGCAUAAAGCCAUGAAAUAUAGCACCUAAUUUUUAAAACAAAGUUUCUUCACAGCUUUAUUAACUAACAUUGCUUGAAAUAAGCUAUUUAAAAUACAGUAUUUUUAAAUAAAAAAUGCACAGAAAAUGGGGCA